GUGCUCACUUCAGCAGUACAGAUACUAAAAUUGGAACAAUGCUGAGAAGAUUACCAUGGCCUCUGCACAAG
ensembl:snRNA U6 U6 spliceosomal RNA